rnacentral:rRNA from 1 species
UCCUGGCUCAGGAUGAACGCUAGCGGCAGGCUUAACACAUGCAAGUCGAGGGGCAGCGCGGGUAGCAAUACCUGGCGGCGACCGGCGAAAGGGUGAGUAACGCGUGAGCAACAGUGCCCGAUACUGGGGGAUAGUCGAUGGAAACGUCGCGUAAUACCCCGUAACACAUUCCCUCGCAUGGGGGUUUGUUGAAAGAUUGAUUGGUAUCGGAUUGGCUCGCGUGCCAUUAGGUAGACGGCGGGGUAACGGCCCACCGUGCCGACGAUGGCUAGGGGUUCUGAGAGGAAGGUCCCCCACAUUGGAACUGAGACACGGUCCAGACUCCUACGGGAGGCAGCAGUGAGGAAUAUUGGACAAUGGCCGGAAGGCUGAUCCAGCCAUGCCGCGUGCGGGAUGAACCGGCCCUAUGGGUUGUAAACCGCUUUUGCGGGGGAGCAAUAAGAGCAACGUGUUGCUCGAUGAGAGUACCCUGCGAAUAAGCAUCGGCUAACUCCGUGCCAGCAGCAGC